rnacentral:rRNA from 1 species
CCUUGAGGCGUGGCUUCCGGAGCUAACGCGUUAAGUCGACCGCCUGGGGAGUACGGCCGCAAGGUUAAAACUCAAAUGAAUUGACGGGGGCCCGCACAAGCGGUGGAGCAUGUGGUUUAAUUCGAUGCAACGCGAAGAACCUUACCUGGUCUUGACAUCCACAGAACUUUCCAGAGAUGGAUUGGUGCCUUCGGGAACUGUGAGACAGGUGCUGCAUGGCUGUCGUCAGCUCGUGUUGUGAAAUGUUGGGUUAAGUCCCGCAACGAGCGCAACCCUUAUCCUUUGUUGCCAGCGGUCCGGCCGGGAACUCAAAGGAGACUGCCAGUGAUAAACUGGAGGAAGGUGGGGAUGACGUCAAGUCAUCAUGGCCCUUACGACCAGGGC